UGUUGUGUGGCUUAGUCGGUUAUCGCGCCAGACUAGCGAUACGGAGUCGUGGAUUCGAAUCUCACCAAAACAA
rnacentral:tRNA from 1 species